UACAGAGGGUGCAAGCGUUGUUCGGAAUCAUUGGGCGUAAAGCGCGUGUAGGCGGCCAGAAAAGUCCGCUGUGAAAACUCGAGGCUCAACUUCGAGCUGUCGGUGGAAACUUUCUGGCUAGAGUCCGGAAGAGGAGAAUGGAAUUCCUGGUGUAGCGGUGAAAUGCGCAGAUAUCAGGAAGAACACCCGUGGCGAAGGCGGUUCUCUGGGACGGUACUGACGCUGAGACGCGAAAGCGUGGGGAGCGAACAGG
rnacentral:rRNA from 1 species